AGUAGUUGAUCAUGGCUCAGGACGAACGCUGGCGGCGUGCUUAACACAUGCAAGUCGAACGGUGAACCAGAGCUUGCUCUGGGGAUCAGUGGCGAACGGGUGAGUAACACGUGGGCAACCUGCCCCAGACUCUGGGAUAACCUCGGGAAACCGAUGCUAAUACCGGAUACGACCACUUCGGACAUCCGACGGUGGUGGAAAGUUUUUCGGUCUGGGAUGGGCCCGCGGCCUAUCAGCUAGUUGGUGGGGUAAUGGCCUACCAAGGCGACGACGGGUAGCCGGCCUGAGAGGGCGACCGGCCACACUGGAACUGAGACACGGUCCAGACUCCUACGGGAGGCAGCAGUGGGGAAUAUUGCACAAUGGGCGAAAGCCUGAUGCAGCGACGCCGCGUGAGGGACGACGGCCUUCGGGUUGUAAACCUCUUUCAGCAGGGACGAAGCGAAAGUGACUGUACCUGCAGAAGAAGCACCGGCUAACUACGUG
rnacentral:rRNA from 1 species